rnacentral:rRNA from 1 species
UUUGAUCCUGGCUCAGAAUGAACGUUGGCGGCGUGGAUUAGGCAUGCAAGUCGAGCGAGAAAUUUAUUUUUGAUCUUUCGAGUGAAGAAAUAAAUGGACAGCGGCGAAAGGGAGAGUAACGAGUAGAUUACGUACCCAGGGGUGCGGGAUAGCGGGGAGAAAUCGCCGGUAAUACCGCAUAACGUCUCCGGACCAAAGAUUUAUCGCCCUUGGAGCGGUUUGCUCACUAUUAGCUUGUUGGUGGGGUAAAGGCCUACCAAGGCUAAGAUGGUUAGCGGGUGUGAGAGCAUGGCCCGUCUCACUGGGACUGAGACACUGCCCAGACACCUACGGGUGGCCGCAGUCGAGAAUCUUCCGCAAUGGGCGAAAGCCUGACGGAGCGACGCCGCGUGCGGGAUGAAGGCCUUCGGGUUGUAAACCGCUGUCGUAGGGGAGGAAAUUUUGACCGAUCCUAGGAGGAAGCACAGGCUAAGUUCGUGCCAGCAGCCGCGGUAAUAAGGG